CUGAACAGAAAGUCAGCAACAUUCUUUACAAUUUUUCUUGAAAAAAACCAUUACUGUUUCACUUUUGUUGUGUUACACUUCACUGGUUGUGGCGAGGGCAUGUGCUAUAGUGCACUCGUUGCCCUCGCCCACGCCGUAGGCGUAUAGGCGAGGGUACUGCGCUCGUCGUGUCAGUGUGUGUGUGUGUGUGUUCGCAAUAUGGCGUCUUUUUCUCUGUUUUCAAAUCCUUGCUGCUCUUUGCUCAGGUCCUGUGGAGUCCCACUGUCAACUAAAAUAAUUGCCAAAAGUAGUUUUUCUUCAGUUUACUUCUUCAUCUGUCUUCUCCUUGGCAGCAUGAGCCAGUAAUGUUGCUAAACGUAGUCAGGAUUCCGGGUAACUCUCUCAUGACGAAAGAAAUUUGUCUUAAAUUCUUAAUUUCUGAGAUAUGG